rnacentral:ribozyme from 12 species
AAUUGGAGGAAAAUGAGGAAGAAAUACGAAUGCUGAAAAGAAGAAAAUGUGGUGUGUUCUUUUUCUUUCGAUUCCUUGUCCUUUUCUUCUAAUGCCUUCUUGUUGAUUUUU